GACGAACGCUGGCGGCAUGCCUAAUACAUGCAAGUCGAGCGAACAGAUGAAGUGCUUGCACUUCUGACGUUAGCGGCGAACGGGUGAGUAACACGUAAGGAAUCUACCUAUAAGCGGGGGACAACAUUCGGAAACGGGUGCUAAUACCGCAUAAUAUCUUCUUCCGCAUGGAAGAAGAUUGAAAGACGGCUCUGCUGUCACUUAUAGAUGACCUUGCGGUGCAUUAGUUAGUUGGUGGGGUAAUGGCCUACCAAGACGAUGAUGCAUAGCCGACCGGAGAGGGUGAUCGGCCACAUUGGGACUGAGACCCGGCCCAAACUCCUACGGGAGGCAGCAGUAGGGAAUCUUCCGCAAUGGGCGAAAGCCUGACGGAGCAAUGCCGCGUGAGUGAAGAAGGCCUUCGGGUCGUAAAACUCUGUUAUAAGAGAAGAACAAAUUGUAGAGUAACUGCUACAGUCUUGACGGUAUCUUAUCAGAAAGCCACGGCUAACUACGUGCCAGCAGCCGCCGUAA
rnacentral:rRNA from 1 species